UUGAAACUUCGGUCGAUUAAUUCUAGUGGCGGACGGGUGAGUAACGCGUGGGUACCUGCCUUAACAGGGGGAUAACAGUCAGAAAUGGCUGCUAAUACCGCAUAAGGCUGCAUGGCAAAAACUCCGGUGGUAUAAGAUGGACCCGCGUUGGAUUAGCUUGUUGGUGAGGUAACGGCCCACCAAGGCGACGAUCCAUAGCCGGCCUGAGAGGGUGAACGGCCACAUUGGGACUGAGACACGGCCCAGACUCCUACGGGAGGCAGCAGUGGGGAAUAUUGCACAAUGGGGGAAACCCUGAUGCAGCGACGCCGCGUGAAGGAAGAAGUAUUUCGGUAUGUAAACUUCUAUCAGCAGGGAAGAUAGUGACGGUACCUGACUAAGAAGCCCCGGCUAACUACGUGCCAGCAGCCGCGGUAAUACGUAGGGGGCAAGCGUUAUCCGGAUUUACUGGGUGUAAAGGGAGCGUAGACGGUGUGGCAAGUCUGAUGUGAAAGGCAUGGGCUCAACCUGUGGACUGCAUUGGAAACUGUCAUACUUGAGUGCCGGAGGGGUAAGCGGAAUUCCUAGUGUAGCGGUGAAAUGCGUAGAUAUUAGGAGGAACACCAGUGGCGAAGGCGGCUUACUGGACAGUAACUGACGUUGAGGCUCGAAAGCGUGGGGAGC
rnacentral:rRNA from 1 species